rnacentral:rRNA from 1 species
AAGGAAUAUUGGGCAAUGGAGGCAACUCUGACCCAGCCAUGCCGCGUGCAGGAUGACGGUUCUAUGGAUUGUAAACUGCUUUUGUGCGAGAAGAAGUCUUAGUACGUGUACUAAGUUGACGUUAUCGUAAGAAUAAGGAUCGGCUAACUCCGUGCCAGCAGCCGCGGUAAUACGGAGGAUCCAAGCGUUAUUCGGAUUUAUUGGGUUUAAAGGGUGCGUAGGCUGAAAAUUAAGUCAGUGGUUAAAUCAUAAGGCUCAACCUUAUUUAGGCCAUUGAAACUUUUUUUCUUGAGUAUCUUUGGGGUAUGCGGAAUGUGUUGUGUAGCGGUGAAAUGCUUAAAUAUAACACAGAACACCAAACGCGAAGGCAGCAUACCAAAAUUUUCUGACGCUGAGGCACGAAAGCGUAGGUAGCAAAC